rnacentral:rRNA from 1 species
UACGGAGGGGGCUAGCGUUGUUCGGAAUUACUGGGCGUAAAGCGCGCGUAGGCGGCUUUGUAAGUUAGAGGUGAAAGCCCGGGGCUCAACCCCGGAACUGCCUUUGAUACUGAAGAUCUUGAGUUCGGGAGAGGUGAGUGGAACUGCGAGUGUAGAGGUGAAAUUCGUAGAUAUUCGCAAGAACACCAGUGGCGAAGGCGGCUCACUGGCCCGAUACUGACGCUGAGGCACGAAAGCGUGGGGAGCAAACAGG